rnacentral:rRNA from 1 species
CCUACGGGUGGCAGCAGUGGGGAAUAUUGCACAAUGGGGGAAACCCUGAUGCAGCGACGCCGCGUGAAGGAAGAAGUAUUUCGGUAUGUAAACUUCUAUCAGCAUGGAAGAAAAUGACGGUACCUGACUAAGAAGCCCCGGCUAACUACGUGCCAGCAGCCGCGGUAAUACGUAGGGGGCAAGCGUUAUCCGGAUUUACUGGGUGUAAAGGGAGCGUAGGCGGUGCAGCAAGUCAGAAGUGAAAGCCCGGGGCUCAACUCCGGGACUGCUUUUGAAACUGUUGAACUAGAGUGCAGGAGGGGUAAGUGGAAUUCCUAGUGUAGCGGUGAAAUGCGUAGAUAUUAGGAGGAACACCAGUGGCGAAGGCGGCUUACUGGACUGUAAAUGACGCUGAGGCUCGAAAGCGUGGGGAGCAAACAGGAUUAGAUACCCCAGUAGUC